rnacentral:tRNA from 1 species
CCUGCAGGCGGCCGGUGGUGUUGUGGAUGCUUGCGGUGCACCCGGUCCACUCGGUGAGAAUGCCGGCGGUGCGUUCAACGUUGCUCUUGCAGGUC